UCUGUGUUUAAUUAAUGUGGUUUUAGCUAUCUACAGUACAACCGCAUUACUUCAGUGACUAAUUUCUUUCAAAGAAAUUUGUUCGAUUUGUCUGAAUAUAAAAUACAAGAAUUACAAUUGACUCAAAAUAGAAUUCAUACAAUCAAGUCUGGUGACUUGUCCAAUUUGCUACGCUUGCGCACUUUGAGUUUAGAUGGUAUGGUUGAUGUAAAUCUUCGAAUUGAAAGUG